ACACUCCUGCGGGAGGCAGCAGUGGGGAAUUUUGGACAAUGGGCGAAAGCCUGAUCCAGCAAUGCCGCGUGAGUGAAGAAGGCCUUCGGGUUGUAAAGCUCUUUUGUCAGGGAAGAAACGGUGAAAGCUAAUAUCUUUUGCUAAUGACGGUACCUGAAGAAUAAGCACCGGCUAACUACGUGCCAGCAGCCGCGGUAAUACGUAGGGUGCAAGCGUUAAUCGGAAUUACUGGGCGUAAAGCGUGCGCAGGCGGUUUUGUAAGUCUGAUGUGAAAUCCCCGGGCUCAACCUGGGAAUUGCAUUGGAGACUGCAAGGCUAGAAUCUGGCAGAGGGGGGUAGAAUUCCACGUGUAGCAGUGAAAUGCGUAGAUAUGUGGAGGAACACCGAUGGCGUAGGCAGCCCCCUGGGUCAAGAUUGACGCUCAUGCACGAAAGCGUGGGGAGCAAACAGGAUUAGAAACCCCGGUAGUCCCAU
rnacentral:rRNA from 1 species